UUCCUGUCUGAAAGGAAGCAGUGAUGAGCUGUAUGGAUUUGAGUUAUUGAAACUUCCUCUUCUUGCAGAAAUUCGACAGGGAAGAAAAGCAAGUCACCAGGGACUGUAUCCUUGAUUAGUGGCUGCGAUCCUGCAACACACUUCAUCCUGCCCAAUCCCUAUCGAUGUUGGCAUUUUCCUACUCAAUUGAUGUCCUCGUAUUUUCCCUGCUCCAUCUACACACCAUAUAUUUCCUCAGGUGCUGCAAACAAGUUCCAAACUUUAUUGGACAGGGGAAGAAGUAGAAGAAACAAGAAGUAUUAUUAAAAUGAAUGGAGUUGAAAUGGGACAGAGGUGAGAAGAAGGAGCUAGAAAACUUUAAAUAAAAUGCACCUACAGCUAAGGAAAUAGACAAGGCUUUCUGAUGGCUCUCAUGGCUCUGCGUUUACAUACUACAGAUUCCUCCUGGAUGAAACAGAAGCCGGGCUGCUGAUGCAGCUGGAGGAGAAGGCGAGAGGUUCCAACGGCAUGACUCCCUGGCAUUUCACACAUCCAUAGAAAUAACCCAUCUAUGAUUUCCACAAGACAAUUUUUUCUUAGUCCCCACUUCUCAGUGUAUGCUCAAACACAAUGCAGAAUCCCAAGAAACUAUGAAACUUUUCUGAGAAAAUGUUCUGAUUUGAAUUAGUUAGCUGUAUUCUGCAUUCAGCACAUUUACAAGCUUUGAAAUAUCAGACAUUGGCAAGCAAGCACUAACAUUUUAUAAGUAGCAGUUUGCAUCCAGGUUUGAGGUAAUGUAAUCCGACAUGCACGAGAACACAGUCUAGGUCCCCUUCUCCCUUCUAAGCAUAGCAGAAGGAUUAGGAAUAAUGAAUGGUGUGAAUUUUGCCACCUAGAGGGUUUCAUUUUGAUACCUGUUACACAGUCCUCUUGAGCACUGUGCUCAUUUUUCCUAUUGCUGAGAUACGGAAAAUAAAACAAUAAUAGGAACGUGCACUGACAACACACCAUGUCAAUGCCCUAAAACGCAAAGUCUUGGAGAGGGUUCCAUAAUGGCUUCAGUAGAAGCAUAGCUCAUUCCCUGCUUUGCUAACCAAUUUUCUGCAUGCCAUGUUCUCCCCGUUAUACCUCAUCUCUUAGGCUACUCUUGUAGCCCAAGUCAACCACACAGGUGAUAUACACCGGUGGAAUAGGUCAGGGCAAUUUCUUGAGGCACUGGAGGGGGAAAACCUGGGGUCUCUCCUCAGCCCUCCAAUGUGUCCAUAAUGCUCCUCAUGUGCCACCGGCUCCGUGCCACCAUGGAAUUUGAUCUGGAAGUCUAGAGCCCUUUUCAGGGAGUUGUUUAAGCCUUUAGUCCUUGUUUCUUCACUCUUAGUGUAAUUCUGUGUCAUUUUAGAGCCAGAAACACUGUUGUAACAGUCAAAUGUAGUAAUUAAGACUGUAGUAUCAGACCACUGGCUUUUCAAUCUUUUUCUAAACAGCUCUAUGAUCUCAGGCAAAUUUACUGAACUCUUCCUGCUGUAAUAUGGGGAGACAAUGGCCCUCACUUCAUAGAUUGUAGUGACAUUAAAUAAGUUAAUAUAUGUAAAGCUUUAAUAAAGUACUUAGCAAAUAGUAUAGACAGUACUAUGCAAGUUUUAGCUAUAAAAUGACAAUAACAUUUCACAUAAAAUGGUUACUAUUAAUUGUUACUACCAUUUCCUAAUUAUUGAUUUAUGUAAUAAGCUAUGCCCCAAACCUACCAGGUUUAACUCUUGGUAUUCAGUGUGAACCGAAUUAUAUUCCCUUCAAAUUCAUUUAUUGAAACACUAAUGUGCUGGCAUUAGAAGGCAAGGCAUUUGGGAGGUAAUUAGGUCAUGAAGGUAGAAUCCUCAUGAUGGGAUUAAUGCCCUUAUUAGAACAAACUCAAGAGAAAUUUUACUCUUUGCCAUGAGAGACACAUUAAAAAAAAAAAAAAAAUGAUGAGGUCUACAAGCCAGGAAGCAAGCUCCCACCAAGAACUGAAUCAGCCAGCACCUUGUUCUUGAAUUUCCCAGCCUCCAGAACUGUGAGAAAUAAAUAUUAGUACUUCAAGUCACCCAGACGGUGAUAUUUUUGGAUAUUUUGUGACAGCAGCCCAUACAAACCAAGGCUAUCUUCAAGCAAACAAUUUAGGAGUUCACAAUUUUUUUUCUGUCAAAUAUGUGGUGUUCGCAAAUUGAAAGCAUCUUGGAUUUCAGGUUAGUAUCCCUAGUACAUAUUUUAAAACUUAUUUAGAGAUUCAAUUGACUUAUUUUAUUUGAGUCUAUGUCCACCUUUCUCCUGAGGCAGAGAAUGCCACUGCCACAGGUCUCAAAAUCCUCUAGUUAACACAAAAAUUACAGAAAAUGCAAAAUUCCAGCCUAGGAAUUAAACACUCUCAUGUGUAAAUUUGUGUAAUGUAGAAGUUUAAUGGCAGAAAAAGAGAAAUUGUUAUACCUAUCAAUCAAGCAGGAGCUUCUCCUUAAAAUCUUUCAACGUGAAUCACAUGGCUUAGCAGGGGUAAAAUAUUUUAGGAGCCUUCUCCUAUAGGAUCUCACUCAAUCUUACUCCCUUGUAGAACAGGCGAUAUCUUCAGCAUGUGCACAAUGAAACCAAUACUCAGAGAAGGCAGAUAAUUCUCCACGAAGCCAGAAAACUAAUAAAUGAACAGUAAGUAACAACACAAUCAAAUACCCUCUUCAUAUAGAUCACUCAUUUUAGAAUUUUGAAAUUGAAUCAUGCACUGUGUAACAGUGCAGUGGAAUGCUUUCUUUUUGUUUUUUUCUUGAUUCUCAAUAUAAGAAGCUUAUAAAUUUGUCUUUUUAAUGGUUGGGAUCAUAUCUAAUAAAUUUAAUGGUUGGGAUCAUAUCUAAUGAAUUGGCUGUACUAAUGUGGAAGCUCUGUAGACUCAGUAAUGAUUGAUCUAUUUUCCUCCGCUCUAUGAACUGCUGCCCAGAGGGUGCUCAUGGCAUUAUCCACAUGCAUCCCUGUGCAUCUAAAUUCCUGAAGGAAUGUGUAUUCUAAGGCAAAAUUCAUAAUGGUAAUGUUGAAGAAAUAAAAAGUAGCAUAUAAAAACU
rnacentral:lncRNA from 1 species